rnacentral:lncRNA from 1 species
UUUUUUUUUUUUUUUUUUUCAUUACACGCCGCACCUUCUGUUCUUCUUCUUCAUCAGAUUUUCUACCUCUUCUACUUCACCGAUUGGACAAUCAUAAAGAUCAGUGGAUUUCGACUCUCCUUGGAUAACAAAUUCUAGAGUUGAAGAGUCUUCUACUAGGGUGAAUUCCUUGAUCCCAGGUCAGUGGAUUACAAACUCCCUUGCCUCUGCAAUUUUCUUUUCGUAUGCAAGCUUUUCUCUUUCUUCUUCUCUGUUUUUUCAGGCUACUCACUGGGUAGCUAAAAAUAAAGAAGAAAAGAAGGGAAUCUGAUACAAUAACACUAACUGGACCAAAAUGCUAUGCUCUGGACCCAUCACAUUCUCACUUUUAUUCCACUCACGCUACACAAUCUGUCAGUUUUGCAAAAAAGUCUUCCUUCCAUGAAUUCAUAUUCUUUUGUCACAAAAUCCAAUAAGAAAUUAAUUAAGAAGAUUGCUUAGUACUUUACAGAUUAUUGCCGCAACAAAUACACUAUUAUUGGUGAGAAUAAUACAUGUUUUUAAUCCAUGUAUUUUGUUGUAAUACAUGUAUUUUAAUUCACGUACUUCAACAGAUGCAUUAUUUUGUUCUUUUUUUUGGUGAGAUAAAUGUUAACGUCACUAGAUUUGUCAUUUUUAUGUUUUUAAUGUGUUUUCUUGGAUUACGCAUUCAAUGGAGGCCAAUCAAUUCUUGAUCUUUUGGUUAUUUGAUCCGUGAAUACUGGUAUAGUUUGGGUGGGUUUCUACAUGCCCUGUACCUGUUUGUAAAAUUGUCUGCUUGAAUAGCUUUCAGUUUCAUAGUUAUUCGUACAUUAGGAUUUCAAGUUUCAACCAUCAAUUUCGUUUGUUUAUGCUUAUUUAUAUCUACACAUCAUUGUGUUUACGGAUGUAUGAUGCAUGUCUAGGCCCUUUUAAUAAGAUCAAUUGAUGUUUAAUGCAUUUGAAGAUUUUGAUGCCGUAAUCUAGUUUGGUGAAUACUUACGUUUGGUUGUCAUAUUGUUAUGUAGACAAAGAUGCCACGUUUGCCUAUUGAAAACUGAAGACGCAAAAAAUAUCGAGGGCAAAGCCAGAUUUUAUCAGGAAUGAUAAUGGUUGUUAUUGCACUGUUUAUGAUGUGGUACCAGUUAAUAUUCAUUCAUCUCAAAAGUAGAAGACGCCAAAUAAAAUCA